GAUGAACGCUGGCGGCGUGCCUAAUACAUGCAAGUCGAGCGAACAGACGAGGAGCUUGCUCCUUCGACGUUAGCGGCGGACGGGUGAGUAACACGUAGGUAACCUACCUAUAAGACUGGGAUAACUUCGGGAAACCGGAGCUAAUACCGGAUAAUAUAUCGAACCGCAUGGUUCGAUAGUGAAAGAUGGCUUUGCUAUCACUAAUAGAUGGACCUGCGCCGUAUUAGCUAGUUGGUAAGGUAACGGCUUACCAAGGCAACGAUACGUAGCCGACCUGAGAGGGUGAUCGGCCACACUGGAACUGAGACACGGUCCAGACUCCUACGGGAGGCAGCAGUAGGGAAUCUUCCGCAAUGGGCGAAAGCCUGACGGAGCAACGCCGCGUGAGUGAUGAAGGUCUUCGGAUCGUAAAACUCUGUUAUUAGGGAAGAACAAACGUGUAAGUAACUGUGCACGUCUUGACGGUACCUAAUCAGAAAGCCACGGCUAACUACGUG
rnacentral:rRNA from 1 species